rfam:Chryseobacterium sp. Leaf394 contig_3, whole genome shotgun sequence.
CGAGAAAACCGGCCUGUUGAUUCUCAUUUUUUUGAGGGUAGGAAAGUCCGGACACCACAGGGCAGCAAAGCGGAUAACAUCCGUCAUCCGCGAGGAUAGGACAAGUGCAACAGAAAGCAGGUACAGUUCGGCUGUAGUGAAACCAGGUAAACUCUUUGCGGUGCAAUGGUAAGUAUAUCGGUUCUUUUCAGAUACGAAAAUAGGGGCGGCCCGUCCUGAAAACCGAGGGGUAAUCAGCUCAAGUUGUGCAGCAAUGUACAACGCAGAUAAAUAACAGGCGUCCUGAUUUUUUGGGAUACAGAAUCCGGCUUACAGGUUUUCUCGUGAU